rnacentral:rRNA from 2 species
CGUAGCGCGGUGGUCCCACCUGACCCCAUGCCGAACUCAGAAGUGAAACGCCGUAGCGCCGAUGGUAGUGUGGGGUCUCCCCAUGCGAGAGUAGGGAACUGCCAGGCA